CGUGCGCUCGGGGCCGCGGCGGGAUGGCGGCGGCGGCGGCGGCGGGGGGCGGCGGGGGGCAGGGCCCGGAGGCGGAGGGGGGCAGCGAGGAGCUGGUGCUCACCCCGGCGCAGCUCAUCCGCAGCCUGGAGCAGGCCUGGCUGAACGAGAAGUUUGCCCCGGAGCUGCUGGAGAGCAAGCCUGAGAUCGUUGAGUGCGUUGUGGAGCAGCUGGACCACAUGGAGUCAAACCUGAAACGGGCAAAGGCAGGAGACUUAAAGGUCAGCGUCCAUCGCAUGGAGAUUGAAAGGAUCCGUUACGUGCUCAGCAGCUACUUGCGGUGUAGGCUUGUGAAGAUAGAGAAGUUUUUUCCCCAUGUCCUGGAGAAGGAGAAGUCUCGAGCUGAAGGGGAGCCUUCCAUUCUAUCCCCGGAGGAGUUUGCCUUUGCUAAAGAGUACAUGGCAAACACAGAGACUUACCUAAAAAAUGUGGCCCUAAAACACAUGCCACCCAACCUGCAGAAAGUGUCCCUCUUAAAAUCAGUCCCAAAGCCCAACCUGGAUUCCUUCGUCUUCUUGAGGGUGCUGGAGAGGCAGGAGAACAUCCUGGUCGAGCCGGAGACUGAUGAGCAGAGGGAGUACACCAUCGAUCUGGAGGAGGGCUCACAACACCUGAUCCGCUACAAGACCGUCGCCCCUCUGGUGGCCUCGGGAGCAGUGCAGCUCAUCUGAGCGGCGGUAGGUGCCGAGCCAGGGCCGCGGUGACAGCCGGCUGCCGGCGCGUUGGGCCGGCAGGUGGCGCCGGGACGGCGCGGUGAGGCCGUGCGCCCCGCUACAGCCGGGGGGUGCACCCUUGGGAGCGUCCAAGUGGACCAGCAAGAUGUCUUCCCCUCUACAGAUGCGGAGGGGCUCGUUGCCCCCACAGUUAAUCAAACUCUUAAUUGCUUACGGUACAUCCGGGCUCCUUUUGCCCAGAGCUGCUGAGCGAGGGCGGUCUGUGUCACAGCACUCCUUCCAACGAGGCUUUGGUGGAGCCUUGCCACAGUCCCUCUUGAGUCCCAAGGGAGGGACGAGUGUAGGUGCCGUCUCUCCAGAUCUCGGGCUGGUCUGACAGCAGAUGUGGACAGAGCACAUCUGUCCUCAAAGGUAAAUAAUGCCUUUGUAAAUCCCAGGAUGCCCUCUUUUUUAAACUUACAUCUUAAAACGUCUGUGUGUUCAUCCAUGCCCCAGUUUAGCACUGUUCUUUGAAUUUAGGCUGUCAGGUGGGAACUGGCUGAUCAAAUGGUGUGGUAACCAGUUGUGUAAACUCCACCUUCCCCCAUCGGCUUUGAUCUUUUCACAGGGUCUAUGCAACCCUGGUUGUUGUGCAAGUGCCCGAUUGCUCUGAGGUGAACUGGGGGGAAUACUUCUGCACCACCUUUGCCACAUGAUCCCUUGAGCAAAAGAACAACACAUGUGAAGGUAUCUGAGAUUUGCCUGCAGAGUAGGCCUGGAUUUGGAAGGAGUGUCUACAGGAGCCUUGGGCAUCUGUGUUUUCUCUGAGAUUGCGAAUGGUGCAAUCAUGAUGGAAGCUCUGGAAAUAUCAAGCAGUGUUUGAACGCUUGUCACAGACCUCUCUAACCAGAGCAACUGGUUCAUGCUCACGGGGUCUUGAUACUGCCCAUGUAAAAUUUGCAUUUCACUCCAUUCACUGUUUUGCUACGUGCACAGGCUUUGCUCAAAGCCAACACCAAAGUAGCUCCUGCACUGAAGACUGAAGUGCUGCUAUUUCACCUCUUGAAAUCCUUGUUGAUCGAGUCCAGCAAGGGGGAUGAGAGACCUUCCUGCUUUUCUGGCCUUUUCUGACCUCCUCCUUUGGGCUGACAGGCUUCAGAGAGAUUACACCACUGUUACAGUUAAUCCUCAAGCUCAAGGCUGCCUUUCUCAGUGAACUUCAGGACAAGUAAGGCCCUUGGUACAGGAUGGUCUGCACGAUCAGCAGCUGAGCACUGGAAGAACUCUGAGGAAUUCUGUAAGCUUGUGGUGCUUUCGUGUUCAGAAUGAUAUUGCAGCACAAGUCUGGCAGAGCUUUCCCAGAACAGUCUCUUGUUGCAGGAUGAGAAUAGAAGUAGUCUUGGUUUUGCCUCACCA